UUCUUAGUUCCUUACUGUGGAAAUUUCAUUGAGCUAUGAAAAAAAUCUUUUGGAUUUUUAAAUUUCACAUUUUGACAUUUGUUAAAUCAAUCAGAUCUGACUACUUUGAGCACUUUCACCACAUCUACUCCUAUUUCUAUGAAAGACCGAAGAAGAAACAGAAUUACAGGUUUUAAAAAAAGGAAUCCAUCAGACCUGAAUACUUUGAGGAUUUUCACAACAUCUACUCCUAUUUCUAUAAAACUCCAAAGAAGAAAAAGAAUUACAGGUAAGAUUUUUAAAACAGAAUAUAAAAGUUUAUUGUUGUGGUUUUUAAUGUUUGAUUAAGUACACGUUUUAGGCACUAAAGAAUUAUUUCUCCUGGGAUCUCACUAGAGGCAGCCUCCCCUUCUUUUGUUCCUGGGAUAACUCUGACAGCCGUGAGCAAUCUUACUGCUGAUGACACGACUCUUACAGAUCCAGCAACUGAUGAUGGAAUGACAGGUAGACCUAAUUUUACUAUUUUUAUUAAAGGACGAACAUAUAUAUAUAUAUAUAUAUAUAUAUAUAUAUAUACAUAUGUGUGUGUGUGUGUGUUGGGGAGUAACAGAAUACAUGUACCGGUGUUCUGACCAACCAUCCUACUUUGGCAAAACGUCCUACCGUAACUAGUUUAUGCACAUUUCUGCUGUCAAAGACGAAUUCCAGCAAAUUUAAGAAGGUAUGACGGGUUGCCACUUAACUUUGCCCAUCAGAGUAUGCUUGUAGCUCAUAGUCAUAAAACCAGGACGGUUUGCCACUUCAUUUUAUCUGUUAAAGUAUGCUUGUAGGUAACAUUCACAAAGGUAGCAUGGUUUGGCACUUAAUUUUACCCGUCAGAGUAUGUCCUAGCUCUUAUUAACAAAGGUAGGAUGAUUUGCCACUUAAUUUUAGCUGUUAAAGCAUGCUUCUAGCUCAUAUUCACAAAGGUAGGAUGGUUCGCCACUUAAUUUUAGCUGUUAAAGCAUGCUUCUAGCUCAUAUUUACAAAAGUAGGACGGUUCGCCACUUAAUUUCGUGUUGUGCGCAUGCACAGAAACAACAGGUAGGAUGGUUUGUCAGGUAGGAUGGAUUCCCAGAACACCGGCGUUACGUAUUUAAAAUACAAAAUAGGAGUAACUGUAUUCCAUUACAGUUACAGUUUAAAUAGGUGGUAAUCAGAAUACAGUUACCUUUUUGAAAUAAAUAUAAUACACAGUGGUUGUUUCCAGUUUUAUAUGUUAGGGUAUCCCCUCUCUAUGCCCUCUCUAAUUUUGGUGAUUGAACACAGUAGGGCGCUGGUUUAGCUCAGUUGGAUGAGCUUGUAGUCAUGGCUGAGAGUGGCCGACCCAGGUUCAAGUACGACCCGUGGCCCUUUUUUAAAAUUUAAUUAAUUUUUUUUUUUUUUAACUCAAUUUCCAUCUGGGAUUAAUACAGUUUCUCUAAUUCUGAUUGAUGGAGACCCCAAAAACCCCCACAAUAAGAGGCUCUAAUGUAAGCACUG
rnacentral:lncRNA from 1 species